rnacentral:rRNA from 1 species
UACGUAGGGUGCAGGCGUUAAUCGGAAUUACUGGGCGUAAAGCGUGCGCAGGCGGUUAUGUAAGACAGAUGUGAAAUGCCCGGGCUUAACCUGGGAACUGCAUUUGUGACUGCAUGGCUAGAGUUUGGCAGAGGGGGGGUAGAAUUCCACGUGUGAGCAGUGAAAUGCGUAGAGAUGCGGAGGAACACCGAUGGCGAAGGCAGCCCCCUGGGCCGACACUGACGCUCAGGCACGAAAGCGUGGGGAGCAAACGAGGAUUAGAA